GGCAGACGAGGUAGUAAUACAUAGGUACGCACCCCUUAGUCACGAAUAACUCACCGAAAGGUGCGCUAACACGUGAUGGUCCCUCCGGGGUAAAGUUUACGCUAAGGGAGCGGCCUGUGAUGUAUCAGCUAGUUGGUAAGGUAAUAGCUUACCAAGGCGAUGACGCGUAGGGGAGGUGAGAGCCUGACCCCCACCGAUGGGACUGAGACACGGCCCAUACACCUACGGGUGGCUGCAGUCGAGAAUCUUCCACAAUGGACGAAAGUCUGAUGGAGCGAUGCCGCGUGAUUGAUGAAGCGCUUCGGCGUGUAAAGGUCUUUUAUGAGGGAAGAAGUUUAUUGACGGUACCUCAUGAAUAAGGGGCUCCUAACUCUGUGCCAGCCGCCGCGG
rnacentral:rRNA from 1 species